AAUGAACGCUGGCGGCGUGCUUAACACAUGCAAGUCGAGCGAGAAGUUUUGAAAAGAUUCUUCGGAUGAAAUUUAAAAUGGAAAGCGGCGGACGGGUGAGUAACGCGUAGGCAACCUGCCCCAUACAAAGGGAUAGCAUUUGGAAACGAAUAUUAAUACCUUAUGAAACUUAACUAGUGCAUGCUAGGUGGGUCAAAGAUUUAUCGGUAUGGGAUGGGCCUGCGUCUGAUUAGCUAGUUGGUGAGGUAACGGCUCACCAAGGCGACGAUCAGUAGCCGACCUGAGAGGGUGAACGGCCACAUUGGAACUGAGACACGGUCCAAACUCCUACGGGAGGCAGCAGUGGGGAAUAUUGCACAAUGGGGGAAACCCUGAUGCAGCAACGCCGCGUGAACGAUGAAGGCCUUUGGGUCGUAAAGUUCUGUUCUAGGUGAUGAAAACUGACAGUAACCUAGGAGAAAGCCCCGGCUAACUCCGUGCCAGCAGCCGCGGUAAUACGGAGGGGGCAAGCGUUAUCCGGAAUUAUUGGGCGUAAAGGGUACGUAGGUGGCCUUUUAAGCGUAGGGUAUAGGGCAAUGGCUCAACCAUUGUUCGCCCUAUGAACUGGAAGGCUUGAGUGCAGGAGAGGAAAGCGGAAUUCCUAGUGUAGCGGUGGAAUGCAUAGAUAUUAGGAGGAACAUCAGCGGCGAAGGCGGCUUUCUGGACUGCAACUGACACUGAGGUACGAAAGCGUGGGGAGCAAACAGG
rnacentral:rRNA from 1 species